UACAGGGGUGGCAAACGUUGCUCGGAAUCAUUGGGCGUAAAGCGCACGUAGGCGGUUUGUUAUGUCGGAUGUGAAAGCCUCGGCUCAACCAAGGAAGUGCUUUCGAAACUGCUGAGCUUGAGUACUUAAGAGGAUCGCGGAAUUCCCGGUGUAGAGGUGAAAUUCGUAGAUAUCGGGAGGAACACCAGUGGCGAAGGCGGCGAUCUGGGAAGAUACUGACGCUGAGGUGCGAAAGCGUGGGGAGCAAACAGGG
rnacentral:rRNA from 1 species